CUUAAUAAAGUAGACAUGUUUGCAAAUUCUAUACAUCUCCCUUAGAGGCAGACUUGUAAUUGUCACUUUACUUUUGACAGUCUUGUCUUUAGUUAUGUAUUUUCUCAUUUUAUUCUUGGGUAAUUGUUUGUAUUUGGGAGAACACCUCAUUUCUUACUGUUGCAAGCAUGAUUUUUCCACCAUCACCUUCUCUCAACUGGAAGCAUCUAUGCUGUGGGCUCUUGGAGCCUUGAAAUGGCACCGAAAAAAAAUCAAAUAUUUGUAGAGAAAUUCAUAACCCCACAGAAGGGUACUUUUCAUAGGAAGGUCCUUAUGUAGUAGUGGAACUUAGAUUUCUUUAUGAUUUUUGGUUUUGACUACUUGCUGUAUAGAGAAAAUGUCUUCAUCUGAAGACAUGAAGGGAGCUUCUGUUAGUACUAGAUCCGAUCCAUGCAUCCAAUGAUUCUCAAAACCAUAUAGCAUAUAGUGGACACUUAAUCCCUGAUGCUUCCUUAACCUGCCAAGUUGCCUUUUAGUCAGUUUAUUUAUUUAUUUAUUUUUAAAUCUAUAAAUUAAAAACAGUGCUGUGAACCACUAUCUAUCACUGAUUUUUGGAUUUAUUAAAUGGGCAGAACUAAGCACAUGCUGCAUGAGAUGGAAAAGUCCCAAACUGAGUUGUGGGUGAGAUUGGUUUCUUACAAACCCAAUGUUAAUUCGGGUGAGCUUCAAACACUAUCCAUUAGUUCUACUACAAUUUGAUCUUCACAUGGAAAUGGCUCUAUCCACUUCUUCAGUUACUGGUAAGUUGAAUUAGGGAAUGUUUGUAAUCUUUUGUGCAUAGUAGUGGAAGAAGAAUGGGUUGGACCUAAUGGAUGGUCCAAGUAAGUGACAUGCUCAUGAGGCCAAAUGUUACCGUGUAUGGGAAGGUUUCUAUACACUUCGCCCACUAAAUCAUUUCUCUUUAGGAAAUUGUGAAAGAGGAAUAUGGCAUGUAAAGACCAAGGUAUUAAAAAGUAGUUAUGUGUAAUGGCCGCUACAUUGUUACAUAAAACCCUUUCUUUUAGACGGUUGCUCUGCUCUCUUCAUUAAACUGUUUUGGUUUGUACUUGAAAAGCAAGCUGCUUUUAUUCUUGUCAUGAAUGAUUUGUUUGGAUGCACACAGUUGUACUAUCUUGUUGUACGUUGUUAAUCCAAAAUCUUAAAUCUUUCUAUUUGUAGUACAUUGCAGAUAACAAUCUUGAGAACAACCCAUGGCAUGGAUUUGAUGAGUAGUCACUCAAGAUAAAAACCAAUGCGCUUGAAUGAAGUUCUGAAAAUGAUGAAGUGAACAAGCUUAUCAGUUCAACCCUGGGUGAAGAGAGAGAGAUAUAAUAUGCAUUUUCUAUGGCCUGGAUAAAGAAUCCCAUACAUGGGAAGACAUUAGUAAAUAAGCUGAAGGCGAGUGGUGACCUCACCAAGGAUGUAGAGCUAAGGGUGUGUUCUUAGCCAUUGGUUAGAGUGAGAGGCUAUAGGGGCUAUUGAUGUCUAUUGGUUGAAAUUUAAGUUUGUUCAGUUGGAUUGCUGAAGUUUAAAGAAUUAGCAAAGGCUUCUAUUGUGGUUCUCAGAUGUCAAAGAGCAUCAAAGCAUGCCUGCCCCAUCGCCGACUAGUCUCAUCUUCUGUUUUAUGGCUGUGAUUUGCUGAGGAGAUGUUGUAGCUACUUUCAGUCCCAACUGAUGUAUGGUUUUUCCUAUGACAUUCAUGUGCAUUUGUAGUAUGAAAACAUUAAAUAGACCGUUA